UACGUAGGCAGCAAGCGUUGUUCGGAGUUACUGGGCGUAAAGGGUGCGUAGGCGGCCCUGUAAGUAUGGUGUGAAAUCUCCCGGCUUAACUGGGAGGGUGCGCUAUAGACUGCGGGGCUCGAGUGUGGGAGAGGAAAGUGGAAUUCCUGGUGUAGCGGUGAAAUGCGUAGAUAUCAGGAGGAACACCGGUGGUGUAAACGGCUUUCUGGACCAUAACUGACGCUGAGGCACGAAAGCAUGGGUAGCAAACAGG
rnacentral:rRNA from 1 species